rnacentral:rRNA from 1 species
CACCGCGGUUAUACGAGAGACCCAAAUUGAUAGUACUCGGCAUAAAGCGUGGUGAAGAACAAGAACAAUAAAGCCGAACUCUUCCAAGGCUGUUAUACGCAACCGAAAGAAAGAAGACCAACAACGAAAGUGGCUUUACCCCAUCUGAACCCACGAAAGCCAGGAAA